AGGAAGGAGAAAUGGAAGAGCUAAAGAACUAUGGGCAUCAACAUCCACUGUUGAUGUUAAAUGAAGAGCAGUUGCUUGGCAAUGGCAAUGAAGUUGUUGAUUGCUCAAGGUGUGGUGAGAAGGUGUCAGCUCCAUGUUUUAGCUGUGUGGAGUGCUGUGGGUUUUACCUCCACAAGACAUGUGCCGAGGCACCUUUGGAGCUUAAUCAUCCUUUUCAUUGCCACCAUCCUCUCGUGCUUUUGCAGAAUUCACCUUGCACUUCUGAUGAAACGUGCGUUUGCGAUUUCUGUGAUGAAACAUGUGAGAAAUUCAUUUACCAUUGCUCUUGUGGCUUGGACUUUCAUAUUAAAUGUGCUUUGUUUACAUUUAAUAUUGCUGAAAGAAAUUUGAAAGAGCUUGAGCAUGUUUCCCUUGAGGAUCCAUCGUUUUCCUCUAAAAACGAUGGUGGAAACCUGGGUAAGUGCUUUGCGUGCUGGGAACCAUUAGCAAUGUAUACAUACUUCUCUCUUGGUUGUGGGUUUAAUUUUGUUGGUGUAAAGAGACAACAACAGACUGUUUUCAAUCUUGCUUGUAUAGCAAGCCUCGAGCCUUGCUGAAGAAACAAACUCAGAAGCAAGAACAGGAACACAUGCGAAUGGAAAACAAAAGAAAUUGAGAGAGAGUAUUUUGAAUGAAAAGAGCUGAUAUUUUCAUUAAAAAAUCCAGAAGGCAUAAUGCUAUUACAUAUAAUAGAUAACAACAACAAAAUGAACAAGUCUUUACCUAAUGACAUACCUAACACCACUAAAUUUACAUUGGAAAUUGUUAAUCAGCUUGCUUAAGUUUCUUUGCUGAUUUUUCAGUCAAUCAAUCAACAAAAAAAAACAUCAUAAGGUUUACCAACUUAGUUCAACAUGAACUAGAUUACAAAAUAAUAAUUAAAAAUACAAUCAAAACAUAACAAGUAGUUAGGCAACUUCAAGCUCCAGUUUCUGCACUUCAUAGCUCGACUGCUUACUGCCACUUCUCCUUGCAUGGCCACCUUUGCAUGUCUUGCAUGGGAACUAAAUUCAACACUCCUCCUUAGUUUCCAUGCUAGUGACACCUAAUUGCCUUCUUAAUUUAACAAAUUUAGACACAUUGAGUGCCUUUGUAAAGAUAUCAGCAAUUUGCUCUUCUGAAUUGCAAUGAACCAGCUCGAUUUCAUGAGCUUGCUCCAUCUCCCUUAUGACAUGUAGCUUGAUGUUGAAGUGCUUUGUUCUACCAUGAAAGAUAGGAUUCUUUGCAAUUGCAACAGCAGAUUUGUUGUCACAGUAAAUCUCUGUUGCCUUUCCUUGAUUUUGAUUUAAAUCAGCUAGGAUUUUUCUAAGCCAUAUGGCUUGAUUUACAGCAGAUGCAGCAGCAACAUAUUCAGCUUCUGCUGUUGACUGUGCUACCAGACUUUGCUUUUUAGAACUCCAGUAAAACAUGCCUGAGCCAAGACUAAAGGCAUAUCCAGAUGUGCUUCUCAUGUCAUCACAAGAUCCAGCCCAGUCACUAUCAACAUAGCCUAUCAGCUUCAUGUUUUCAGCCCUUUUGAACAAUACACCAUGAUCAAUGGUGCUUUUGAUGUAUCUAAGCACUCUUUUAGCUGCUUGAAAGUGCUGAUCAUUGCAGCAAUUCAUGUAUCUGGAUAGCACACUAACAGCAAACAUGAUAUCGGGUCUUGUUGCAGUCAAAUACAACAAACUACCAAUGAGACUUUUGUACAUAGUCUCGCAAAUUGGUUCACCACUCCCUUGCCUCGAAAGCUUCACUCCAACAGGCAUUGGUGUGCUUGUUGGCUUGCAGUUCUUUAUAGAGAACUUAUCCAGGAUCUUCAUAGUAAAAGAACUCUGACUAAGAAAGAUUCCCUUUGCUGUUUGCUUCACUUCCAUUCCAAGGAAGUAGUUCAUUCUUCCUAAAUCAGACAUUUCAAACAUUUCCAUCAUUUUUCUUUUGAAAUCUUCCAGCAUUCUUCUAUCUCCUCCAGUCACCAAUAAAUCAUCAACAUAGAGUGACAGGAUAAGCUGAGUUUUAGCUUGGUUCUUCUUCACAUACAGUGUUGGUUCACUGAGACUUCUCUCGAAUUCCAAACUGAGCAAGUAAGAAUCAAUUCGAGCAUACCAGGCUCGAGGAGCCUGUUUCAGGCCAUACAAAGCCUUUUUCAGUCUGUACACCUUGUGUUCUUUGCCAGUGACCACAAAUCCUUGAGGCUGUUCGAUGUAGAUCUCUUCUUCCAGGAAACCAUUGAGAAAUGCAGACUUAACAUCAAGAUGAUAAAUGGUCCACUGAUGUUGAGCAGCCAAGGCAACUAUCAUUCUAACUGUGUCACGCCUGGCUACUGGUGCAAAUGUCUCCAGAUAGUCUAGACCAUACCUUUAGCUAAAACCUUUGACAACAAGCCUGGCUUUUAGCUUGUUCAGACUGUCAUCUGCAUUCUGUUUUUCUCGAUAGACCCAUUUUACUCCAAUGGUCUUCUUUCCAGUAGGUUUAUCAACUAGCUCCCAUGUCUGGUUCUUCUCAAUCAUGUUGAUUUCAUCGACCAUAGCUAGNNNNNNNNNNNNNNNNNNNNNNNNNNNNNNNNNNNNNNNNNNNNNNNNNNNNNNNNNNNNNNNNNNNNNNNNNNNNNNNNNNNNNNNNNNNNNNNNNNNNNNNNNNNNNNNNNNNNNNNNNNNNNNNNNNNNNNNNNNNNNNNNNNNNNNNNNNNNNNNNNNNNNNNNNNNNNNNNNNNNNNNNNNNNNNNNNNNNNNNNNNNNNNNNNNNNNNNNNNNNNNNNNNNNNNNNNNNNNNNNNNNNNNNNNNNNNNNNNNNNNNNNNNNNNNNNNNNNNNNNNNNNNNNNNNNNNNNNNNNNNNNNNNNNNNNNNNNNNNNNNNNNNNNNNNNNNNNNNNNNNNNNNNNNNNNNNNNNNNNNNNNNNNNNNNNNNNNNNNNNNNNNNNNNNNNNNNNNNNNNNNNNNNNNNNNNNNNNNNNNNNNNNNNNNNNNNNNNNNNNNNNNNNNNNNNNNNNNNNNNNNNNNNNNNNNNNNNNNNNNNNNNNNNNNNNNNNNNNNNNCAGACUGACAAAUUGGCCAGUGUACCUCAAAGCAUUUGUCAGUCAUUGUGACUGUCAUAAGGCUUGAUCCACUUGGAUCAGCAAUGUGGCACUGUUUGUUCUUGAACACAACAGAAUAACCUUUCUCGAGCAAUUGAGCUAUGCUGAGAAGGUUUCUGUCGAUUUCUGGCACUAACAGCACAUUUGGAAUGAUCUUGUUGCCUGUGGGGGUACAUAUCAGCACCUCUCCUCUUCCUUCAGCCCUUAUGAACUGACCAUUUCCAACAUUGACCUUGGUUUUGCAACUUCUAUCCAAGGUUUUAAAUAAGGAGGCAUCUGGUGACAUGUGGUUAGUGCAACCACUGUCCAAUAACCAGCCUUUUGAGUAUUUCUUCUCAGCAGCUAAGCAAGAAACAGCAAAGACCUGCUCUUCUUGAUCACUAUUGUCUUCAGCUACUCGAGCUUCAACCUUUGGUUGUUGAAAUUGACUCUGCCUUGACUUGGUUCUAUUUUUGCAAACCCUUUCAACAUGGCCUUUCUUCUUGCAGUGUUGGCAUACUGCAUCUGGCCUGAACCAGCAUCUGUCUUCUGGAUGACCUGGCCUCUUGCAAUGUCUGCAGGGCUGGUCAUUGCUCCUUGCAGUAUCAGGCUUAGGCCUGCUUUUCCAAGGCUUUUUACCUCUUGGAGCAUUGAUGCUCGAGGCUUCUCUAGCCUUGGCAUUGAAUGCACCUUCCUGGUGGUCUUCAGCUCUGCUAGCUCUUCUUUGUUCCUGAGCAUAGAAAGUGUUGAUUAGCUCAGUCAAAGAGAUGGUAGCAAGGUCUCUUGAGUCCUCAAGAGAGGAUAUCUUGGCCUCAUAUCUCUCAGGAAGUGGAGAGAACUUUCUCUACUAUCCUUGCCUCAUCAAAGUGCUCACCAAGGAGCCUUAUACUGUUAACCACUGCCAUGAUUCUAUCUGCAUACUGCUUUACUGUUUCUUCUUCCUUCAUCUUCAGGUUCUCAAAAUCCCUUCUCAAAUUCAAUAGCUGCUGUUGCCUUGUUCUCUCAGUGCCUUGAAACUCCUCAUUAAGCUUAUCCCAUGCCUGUUUUGGAGUCUCACAGGCCAUAAUUCUGGUGAAGAUGACAUCUGACACACAAUUCUGAAUGCAGGACAUGGCUUUGUGCCUUUUGGUCCUCUCAGCAGCAUGUUGCCUAAUCUGAGCUACUGUGGGAUUGGCCCUCAGUGGUGCUGGCUUAGCAUCUUUGUUGACAACUUCCCACAGAUCAAAGGCCUGUAGGUAAGUCUUCAUCUUGACCAGCCAUAUGUGGAAGCCUUCUCCAUUGAAGACUGGUGGGGCUGCUGGUGAAAAACUUGAGGAAGACAUUCAGCUUUCUUAGUUUUGAUAAAAACGGUCCACUAAGAAUGAAGCUCUAGAACCAAUUGUUGGUGCAAAGAGACAACAACAGACUGUUUUCAAUCUUGCUUGUAUAGCAAGCCUCGAGCCUUGCUGAAGAAAACAAACUCAGAAGCAAGAACAGAAACACAUGCGAAUGGAAAACAAAAGAAAUUGAGAGAGAGUAUUUUGAAUGAAAAGAGCUGAUAUUUUCAUUAACAAAUCCAGAAGGCAUAAUGCCAUUACAUAUAAUAGAUAACAACAACAAAAUGAACAAGUCUUUACCUAAUGACAUACCUAACACUACUAAAUUUACAUUGGAAAUUGUUAAUCAGCUUGCUUAAGUUUCUUUGCUGAUUUUUCAGUCAAUCAAUCAACAAAAAAAAAACAUCAUAAGGUUUACCAACUUAGUUCAACAUGAACUAGAUUACAAAAUAAUAAUUAAAAACAAUCAAAACAUAACAAGUAGUUAGGCAACUUCAAGAUCCAGUUUCUGCACUUCAUAGCUCGACUGCUUGCUGCCACUUCUCCUUGCAUGGCCACCUUUGCAUGUCUUGCAUGGGAACUAAAUUCAAAAAAUUUACAUAAGAAGUGUGCUGUGCUUCCUCUCAAAAUGGAUCAUUGGUGUCAUCGCAAACAUCCUCUUGUUUUGCAAUUUAAUAGUGAACGGCUCUCGUGCAAGACAUGCCAAGUAACUCCAGAGAGAGGAUUUGUGUAUGGUUGUUCAGCUUGUAAGUCGGCGAUUCACAUUGAUUGUGCAUCGCCAUUAUCAGUUAUUGAAGAUAAAAGUUUCCACACCCAUUCACCUUGUUUUGGAGACGAAUUCCAUUCGUUUGUGAUGCUUGUGGCACUGAAGGACAUCAUGUUGCAUAUACAUGUAGUACGUGCGGUAUUAUGGUCCAUAAAAAAUGCAUUUCAUUGCCACGCAUUAUCGGACAGAUUUGUCAUAUCCAUUGUCUUUUUCACAAGUAUUUCAUUGAUAAGGAUAUUUUGAAAGUUUGAAUUGCUUAUGGUGUCAUGAAGUUGUUGAUACAGACUACGGUAGUUACUUCUGUGCAGAUUGCAAUGUUAUAUUCCAUGUGAAUUGUGCAUUGAAAGAAAAGGAGUGGUAUUGCAUAGUAUCACAGGAAAAUGAAGAUGACAAGUCUCUUGAUAUACCUGUUAACUCCAUCACUAAGGUUCUUGAGACGAAUGAUGCUGGAGAAGCCACAGUAAUAGAACAUUGCAAGCAUAAGCACUACUUGAUGUAAGUGACAAAAUGAGAGAGCAUGGUGAUAAAUGUUGUGAUGGGUGCUUGUUAUUGAUCUCCGCUAAGUUCUACCAUUGCUUGCAGUGUGAUUUCUUUCUUCAUAAAUCUUGAGUUGAAUUACCUAAGAAGACGCUUUCUAAGAAUCAUUAUUGUGAUGAAAAGCGUUUUUCUGGACCAAAACCCUUCAUCCUUACUUCAGACGGCAUGUUCAAAUGUAAUAUAUGCAGGUACCUUUCUAAUGGAUUUUCUUAUAACUGUAAUGAAUGUGGAAUUUACAAGUGCCUUCGAUGUCAUGAUCUAAUUUUCCAAGAUGCUGCAAAAAUUCCAGGGCAUAUACACCCUCUUCUUUUCUAUUAUGAUUAUUUUCAUUAUAAGGAGCAGUGUAGUGGUUGUGGGAGGGAUAUCAGUAACGCAUAUUGUUGUAAGGAUUGUAAUUUUAAUUUAUGCCAUUUCUGUGCUAUACGACCAACUAGAGUUGGACACAAAUGCGAUGAACAUAUUCUUACACUCACUUAUAACAAGAUUAAUGAUUAUGCAAAAUAUCAUUACUGUGACAUUUGUGAGAAAGAAAUGGAUCGAAAGCACUGAUUUUACCAUUGUGAAACUUGUGACACUUCUGUUCACGUGGAUUGCGUUCUUGGAAAAUAUUCAUUCAUCUAACUCGGGAGCACCUACAAUGAGGGAAACCAUGAACACCCUCUCACUUUUGUCAAGAAGAUUCAUUAUUAUCCUGAAUGUGUUGAAUGUGGUGAGUCUUGUGAAGAUCUUUCUCUUGAAUGUGCAGAACCAGGAUGUAACUAUAUUGCUCAUUGUAAAUGCAUAAAACCAGCAAUCGGUGAUAAAUAUUGAAAAAUAUUGAGGCUUCAGUUUCAGAAUAAGAUAGUGUGUGGUUGUUGUUAAUGGUUUCUACUUUUUAAUUGUGUGUUUAAACAAUGUAAUGUAUUUAGAUUUGGAUUGUAAAUAUAUAAGAAUAAAAUUGAUAUGAGUUGCUUAUAUCUUCUUUAAUUAUCAUAUAUUAAUUUUGUUGCAUGCUAACUAAAAUCAUAAAAAUCCUUAGAUUCCAUGAAUAAUUAGUCCGUAAUUAUGUGCUCCAUACUUACAUAAGUUUGAAUAUAGUUAGAUAUUAAAAAAAUUGUUUACACUGGAAAUUUUGAUUAGAAACGAUGUAAAAUAUUUUCAUUAAUUUGACAAGCUAACAUGACAUGAUACAUAUGAUAAUAUGUUUACCACAUAGAUUUUCUGAAAAAUACUAAACUUAAUGAAUUUAACAGCUACAGUUUAGAUAAUAAAGACUAAAAUUUUAAAAUUCGGAAAAUAAAGGGACAAAAUAUCAAAUUAUAGUGAUACAAUCUACAACUUAGACAUAAUAUAGGGGCAAAAUAACAAAACAAUAAAUGUAUGAAUAUUUCAAAAUUUAUACUUAAGGUGUAAAAAUUCUAUAGAUCUUUUUGGGAUGGUAGAUAUGUCUUAGAACUAAUGUAACUAAUAUAUAGUGAUUGAUGGUCAUCAGGGAGCAGUACUUUGCAUCUGUUGAGGGAUCUGUCUACCCCUUUAGCUGAAAUUUUAAAGUGCUUGAGGGAUGAACUGGUCCCUCAUAUCUAACAUCUGAUCACUUUGUCAGUUGCCUUUCCCAAUGGCAUGCUGAUCAUUAUAAGAAGGUUUUGAUUGCUUCAAAGUUUAAUACCAUUUGAUACCUUUUUAUUAAUGUUAUUUUUGGAAGCCUUGAAUGGUUGAGAUUUGAGAGUACUUGUUCAUAUAAACGGUUGCUUUUGCUUCUACUUAUUUCUCUUUAUUUUGCAUAAAAUUAAAAAAAAAUUAGUAAAUAUAUUUUUUCACAAUUUUUAUUUCAUCCACGUCAUGUAUUAUAAUUUGGUUAUAUAUUAAUUUUAUUGAAUUAGUAACACCCAAUUAAUUUUGUUAAAUAAUGACAAAAUUCUUGAAAUUAUUUUUAUCAUUUUAUAAGAGUAAAUUAUAUACAAUUCGAUCUGAAUUCGAAUUUAUACAUUUCGAGUAAAACCAACAAUUAAAUUAAGUAGAGUCUCCUCAAAUUCAGGACCUCGUCUUUACCAUCCGAACCAAGUUUCGUCUGGCUGUAACCCAUUCAAUCGGCAGUUGAACCGUGAUCGGACACGCCAUGUUGUGAAGUGUCAGAACCCAAACAUACCACAAACUUGGAUCACGACAUGUUUUUCAAAAGUUUUAUUUUUCUGUACGUGGCUGACAUGCAUUACGCCCUGUACCCCUCAGACCCCAUAUAUAUACGUAUUGUUAGUGUUUAAGAGAGUGAGCAAGCUGUUUUAGUCUUGCUUGGACAGCAAGCCUCGAGGCUUGGGAAAGAAACAAUAGCAGAAGAGAAGCUUGCAAAUGGAAAAACAGAAAAGAAAGAGAGAAUUUGAGCUAAAAACAAGCUGAAUUUUCAUUACAAUUAAAAGAUAAGGCAUUAAGCCAUUACAUAUAUUGGUCAACAUGAAGAACAAACUAGUUAUCACCUAAUCAACUACCUAACACCACUAAUUUACAUUGAAACUUACAAGAUUAACUUGUGCAUGUUGCUUUGCUGAGUUUUCAGUCAAUCAACAUCAAAAAUUACAUCAAAACAUUUACCUACUAAGCUCAAAAUGAACUACAUUACAAAAGAAUUAAAAACAACUAGAUGUAACAAAUAAAACAGUAGCUUUAAGCUUCAGUUGCUGCACAGCAAGGCUCGAUUGCUUGCUGCCCCUUCUCGUGCAUGACCACCUUUGAAGUUUACCUUGUUGCAUGGGAACUAACUUCAACACGUAUGCAUUUUAUAGAGUUGCACCUAGAAAAAAGUAGAAGCAAAAGCAACAAUGACUAAAGCAACUUUCACAGCCGAAGAUCAAAAGAUUGAGUCUUUUAGGUUACUAAGUGGCCACACAAUCCCUGCAAUUGGGUUAGGCACUUGGAGAGCCGGUUCACAAGCCGAUAAAUCCGUCAAGAUCGCCAUUGUUGAGGUACUUAUAUAUGCUUGUACUUUGUUUCAAGUAUCUUUGUAUAUAUUUGUCUUUGGGAGCUAAAUUAUUUUUUAUUAUUUAACUAAAUUUAUAAUUUUAAAAAUUUUGAGGGAUUAAAAUGAUAAUUAUUUUGAGGAGUCAAGGCCCCUGCUUUUCCUCUUGGCACCGUCCCUGUUUUUUGUAUUAAAUUUUCAUUAACAAUUCACAAUGGUUGCAGGGGGGUUAUAGACAUAUAGAUACAGCUUGGGAAUACGGUGUUCAAGAAAGUGUAUGUCUCUUCUCCCCCAACAAUAUGAAGUUGUAAAUUUUCAGUUUUCGUUAAACAAUUAAUUUAUUAUUCCAUUAACAUUUUUCAUUUUUGUGUAUCAGGUUGGCCGUGAGUAUCAAAGCAGCAAUACAUGCAGGGAGUAGAAAGAAGGGAUCUUUUCAUUACAUCCAAGCUAUGGUGCACCGAGUUGAGUCCAGUACGAGUUCGACCUGCUUUAUUGAACACCCUCCAAGAACUCCCAACUUGAAUACCUUGAUCUUUACCUGGUAAUCUGAUCAAAAUAUCAUUCACAUCAGCAUGUUCGAUGAUGAAAUGCCCUGAAAGAUUCUUUAUUACAGAUACAUUGGCCAUUUAGGCUAGCAGAUGGAGCAAGCAGACCACCUAAACCAGGUGACGUACAAGAAAUGGACAUGGAAGGUGUUUGGAGAGAAAUGGAGGGACUUGUAAAAGACAAGCUGGUUAGAGACAUUGGUGUGUGUAAUUUUACAUUGAAGAAGAUGAACAAGUUGCUUGGUUUUGCUGAAACUAUGCCAUCUGUUUGUCAAAUGGAAAUGCAUCCUGGUUGGAGGAAUGAUAAGAUGUUGGAAGCUUGUAAACAGAAUGGCAUCCAUGUCACUGUAAGAUCUGAUUUAUCAUAUCAUAUAUUUGGAAUGGAUAAAUUAAUCAUUGGAUAGUCAUGAUGAUGAUGAUGGAUUUGCAGGCAUAUUCACCACUUGGUUCACAAGAAGGUGGUAGAGACCUAAUCCAUGAUGAAACAGUGGAUAGAAUAGCAAAGAAGCUGAGCAAAACCCCAGGACAAGUGCUGGUAAAAUGGGCAAUACAAAGGGGAACCAGUGUCAUACCCAAAUCAAACAACCCUGAUAGGAUCAAAGAAAACAUUAAGGUGUUUGGGUGGGAAUUGCCACAAGAGGAUUUUCAAGCUCUUUGUAACAUCCCUGAUCAGGUAAUAAUAACAAUACAUAUAUCAGUUUAGUUUUGUAAUAAUUAAAACUAGGUUUGCACGUUGAUUGAUGAAAGGGUUUUUUUUGUUUCUUCUUUUUGCAGAAGCGAGUGUUGCAUGGAGAACAAUUGUUUGUGAACAAGAAUGCAGGGCCUUUAAGAAGUGUGGCUGAUGUAUGGGAUCAUGAAGAUUAGUUACAAUGUUGAUGUUCUUAUCAAUAAAUACGACGACGACGAUGGUGAUUCCAUGUGUUUUGUAGUGAUGAUGACUGUAACCAAAGUACUUAGAUUUGAAAUAAAAAUAAAAAAAUCCUGUUUGAGAAAAAAAGUGUGAUUUAUAAGAAGAAUUAAAUAUUCAAUUUAAAUCUUUUUUAUUUUAUGUUCAAUGAAUUUUUUUAACGAGAUAAAAAUAAACAUCAAUUUUCUCUUAAUUAAAUACUAUUUUUUUAAAUAGAAAUUAAAAAUGAAAAAUAUAGAAGGAAUAAUAUAAUUUUUUACUAAGUAACAAAAAUUAUUAUGUAUUAAUAAUUUAUAAUUCUAUCAUUUUUAAAGAGUAAAUUAAUUUUUUUUCAUCUAAAAAUUUACUUUAUAUUAAUUAUAAUAUCAAAACACAUCCGAUAUCAACAUUCAUUAUCUAAUACACAAAGCAAGGAAUAUAGGAAAACAAAAACAAAAACAUAUAUUUUUAGUAUCAGCUAAUAUUCUCUUACUUAGAGUACACUCAAACCCAUUGCAUCCCAUUCUUAGUAAUUAUAAAGAAGAAACCUAUAUAGGUAUAGGCAACCCACCGUUGAAGCAAAGUACCAUAGCAAGUCCAAAGAGACUCCUACAAAUAAACAUUUGGAAUCUCUCCCUUCUAUUUUUCUGCUUUCUUUGAGUUUUUCAAUUUCAAGUUUUCUUUCUCUACCACAUCGAAAGAGACAGAGAGGAAGGAGAAAUGGAAGAGCUAAAGAACUAUGGGCAUCAACAUCCACUGUUGAUGUUAAAUGAAGAGCAGUUGCUUGGCAAUGGCAAUGGAGUUGUUGAUUGCUCAAGGUGUGGGGAGAAGGUGUCAGCUCCAUGUUUUGGCUGUGUGGACUGCUGUGGGUUUUACCUCCACAAGUCGUGUGCCCAGGCACCUUUGGAGCUUAAUCAUCCUUUUCAUCGCCACCAUCCUCUCCUGCUUCUGCAGAAUCCACCUUACACUUCUGAUGAAACGUGC
rnacentral:lncRNA from 1 species